GACGAACGCUGGCGGCGUGCCUAAUACAUGCAAGUUGAGCGCUGAAGGUUGGUACUUGUACCAACUGGAUGAGCAGCGAACGGGUGAGUAACGCGUGGGGAAUCUGCCUUUGAGCGGGGGACAACAUUUGGAAACGAAUGCUAAUACCGCAUAAAAACUUUAAACAUAAGUUUUAAGUUUGAAAGAUGCAAUUGCAUCACUCAAAGAUGAUCCCGCGUUGUAUUAGCUAGUUGGUGAGGUAAAGGCUCACCAAGGCGAUGAUACAUAGCCGUCCUGAGAGGGUGAUCGGCCACAUUGGGACUGAGACACGGCCCAAACUCCUACGGGAGGCAGCAGUAGGGAAUCUUCGGCAAUGGACGAAAGUCUGACCGAGCAACGCCGCGUGAGUGAAGAAGGUUUUCGGAUCGUAAAACUCUGUUGGUAGAGAAGAACGUUGGUGAGAGUGGAAAGCUCAUCAAGUGACGGUAACUACCCAGAAAGGGACGGCUAACUACGUG
rnacentral:rRNA from 1 species